GAGGCCACGUGCAACACAGCAAGACAACUCUUCCGAAACCUGUAUUAAACAAAGCACUUUAGAACAAUAGUAAUUUAUUUUGUUUCUCCUAUUUCAUUCCUAGUUGUUCUGAAAAAAAAUAUAAUGUUUAAAUGGGAUAACUGUAUGGAGGUUCCACCAUGUAUUAAAACAUGAUCACGCACAUACAGAAUUGGUGGCUUUUUGGACAUCGGGAUCUAUAAAAGGUUUCAGUUUCCAAAGAUGUUAGCAGGGU